rnacentral:lncRNA from 1 species
UGUUUUAAAAUCAGAGUGGGCGGGAUUUAGGUUUGGCCACGCCCAUGGUUUAUUCGUGGUUCAGGAUGGGUUUGGUGAAGGGAAGGGUUAAAUGGGGGCGUGGUCAGGCCCAAAAUGUGGGUGUGGUUUGGCGUCUCAGAAUCAGAGUGGGUGGGGUUUUGGUUUGGCCACGCCCGUUGUUUAUUCGUGGUUGGAAAUGGGUUUGAUGGCAGAAAGGGUUAAAUGGGGGCGUGGUCAGACCCAAAAAGUGGGUGUGGUUUGGCGUUUCGAAGUCAGUAAGGGGCGGGGUUUGAGUUUGGCCCCGCCCAUGGUUUAUUCGUGGUUCAGGAUGGGUUUGGUGAAAGGCGGGGUUAAAUAACCAAAUAAGGGGCGUGGUCAUCACAUCUAAGGGGCGUGGCCUAAGGGCUGGGUGGAGCACUACCAUGUUUGGCAUUGUGGGCGUGGCUUUUUGUGGGCGGAGCUCGGAGGAGGAGACCUGUGUGGGUGUGGGGGUUGGCCACGCCCUGUUUGGCCACGCCCCUCACUGACCACGCCCUCUUUUGGCCCCGCCCCCCAGCACAUCUGCCGCUACCUCCAGGCCGAGGCGGACAAGAAGGAGCGGCCGGAUUUCCGCGAGGGCUGGAGGGGAGCCUUCAAAAUGGUGAUUGGGGAGCCCCAAAAACGGCCAAAAUCCACCCAAAAUCCACCCAAAAUUCACCCAAAAUCAGCCCAAAAUCCACCCAAAAUCCCGCCCCAAAUCCACCCAAAAUCCACCCAAAAUCCACCCAAAAUCCACCCCAAAUCCACCCCAAAUCCACCCCAAAAUCCACCCAAAAUCCACCCAAAAUCCACUCAAAAUCCACCCAAAAUCAGCCCAAAAUCCACCCAAAAUCCACCCCAAAUCCACCCGAAAUCCACUCCAAAUCCACCCAAAAUCCCGCCCCAAAAUCCACCCAAAAUCCAUCCCAAAAUCCCCCAAAAUCCAUCCCAAAUCUCGCCCCAAAUCCACCCCAAAUCCACCCAAAAUCCACUCAAAAUCCACCCAAAAUCCCGCCCCAAAUCCACGCAAAAUCCCGCCCCAAAUCCACCCAAUUUCCACCCAAAAUUACCCCCAAAAAAUCCCCCAAAAUACGCCCAAAAUUAACCCAAAAAAAAUCCAAAAAAAUUCCCCCCCAAACCCCCAAAAUUACCCCCAAAAAAUCCCCCAAAAUCCCCCAAAAAUCACCCAAAAUUCCCCCAAAAAAUUCCGUCCUGGGAGGCUCCAAAAUUCCCCCAAAAAUGCCCCAAAAUGGCCAAAUUUGGGUUUUUUCCCCCAGAACGUCGCCCGGCAGAACAACGACAGCGACUGCGGCGCCUUCGUGCUGCAGUACUGCAAAUUCCUGGCGCUGGGGCGGCCGUUCAGCUUCACGCAGCAGGACAUGCCCCACCUGCGCCGCCUGAUGUACAAGGAGCUCUGCCACUGCCAGCUCGCCCUCUAAAAACCCCAAAUUUGGGGGAUUCACCCCAAAAAAACCCCGGAAAAAUCCCCCAAAAAAACCCCCCAAAAAUCCCCCAAAAAAACCCCGGAAAAAUCCGCCCCGGAACGGCCGAAUUUGGGAUUUUUUGGGGAAUUUUAGGGGAAUUUUUGGGGAAUUUUUGGGGAAUUUUUGGGGUUUUUUGGGGAAUUUUUGGGGAUUUUUUUGGGGAAUUUUCGGGGUUUUUUGGGAAAUUUUGGUGGUUUUUUGGGAAGGUCCAAAAAUUUUGGGAGCUCCCGGAAUUCCGAG